GUUUUUAUUUCUGUAAUCUAGUUAAUGUGCUUUUAGACGAUCUCAUACCUAACAAACUAUACAGUUUUGUAGGCAGGUGAUGCUAAGGAGGGCGCUUCCAGAUGUGGUCCUGCCCUUUAAAUUUUGUUAUGUUCGUUUACUUUUACUUUUGUAUAGUUAUAUAUUUUCAUCUUAUCCAUUUAUAAUUUCAUUAUUUCGUUCACCUUAUCCAUUUAUGAUUUCAUUAUUUCAUUCUAGCUCCUCUAUUCUUUUGCUUUACAAAAUACCCUUCUCUCAUCUUUGGCUGGUCAUUGAUGUCUCUUUCGUAGUCUUGAUACAAAUUAACAAUGACAAUCAUCAUGUAAG
rnacentral:lncRNA from 1 species